rnacentral:lncRNA from 1 species
AUGCAGGAAGGAGGUCCGGGCGUGAUAACAACUCAGGAUAUCCUUGGCUUUCUUCAAGCAGGGCCAUUGACCGGCCAUCUCCAAGGCAGGGAUAAGGCUGACCGACAUGAACUUGACCCCUUGGGGAUCCAGCAUCAGGAGGCCCACGGCCGGACAGUUGGGCUUCUUCUUCUCCAGCUUCACCUGCCAGCCAGGAAGAGGCACUGAGAGACCGAAAAGAACAGAAUUAACCUGCUUAAUCUCUUUCUAUUUAAUAUGUAUGUAUGUAUCUUUGUUUGCCAGUACCACAAAGGGAUGAAGGGAGGGAGGAAAGAGAAAAAAGAAGAGAAAGAAAGACUUCCUCACCCAAAUAAAACGUUUUCACAAACUGGUCCACGUGCUUCCAGAAUUCCUCCAUGACGUUCCUUGGGGAUAUGGUCCUCCCGUCUUCCAGAAGAAGGGCCGCUGGGAAGCUGCGGGACUUUUUCAGGAAAUUCAGGGUGUAAAAGAGACCGUUGUAUCCCUCCACUUCGGUGUACUGAAUGCAUUCCGGAAGGGAAAUACUCAGCAUCACCUCGAACUCGCCUGGAUGGAGGAUCUGAAGGCAAACCAACAACACAGUUGAGAGAGAAAAGAGGGAGAGUGAAAUGGCAGACAAAGGUUUGAGGAAAUGAGACAAAGAGAGUUCCGGUGGCUGUAGAAAAAAUGACGUUUUUAUUCUCAAUGGGCAAUGAGAAUAUAGACCCUUCUGUCUCCAGGAAAAAGGGUAAAAUUACAAAGAAACACAGAUCCUUAUAUACUAUUUUGGUCUGCCUCUAUCUACGUCACACAGGUAUUAUCAAUCACCAAUUAGUGUCAAAAAAGUCUUACUGGGCACUUAACUAAAAAGCUAUCUUUGCAUUUUCCUAAAAUAUAGACUACUUUCAAGACCCCUGAUCCUCCAUUAGCCUUAUCUUUGGAAUUCUCAUCUCAUCCAUUAGGGGUUCUCAUUAAUUAAGGAGUUCCCACUUAUCUUAGCUGUCAGAGACCCAUUAGCACUCCCCUCAUGGUGCCAGGUCUUACCUUGACAUCCCAAAAAGCCUUAAUUUGUCUCUUGUCCAUUAGCUUAUCUAUUCUGGUUGAUACUUAACAUAUGUCUCAGUGAACUUUGGUCUUGCUAUGGGUAGACAGUUAUUUUGCUGAGCAGAGUGUAUUUUUAAGGCUUCACACACAAUCUGCUGGUGAUUACAUAUUUUCCUAUUUCUAGUUUUUUUUAACAUGAUUACAUUCAAUAUAUAUUUUUCAAUACAAGUAUUAUAUUUUCCCAAUACACCUUCAUCAAGAGGAGAAUUGAGAUUGAGAUGCAACCAAUCAGAGACCUUUGGACUAAGGUUCCAAAAUCCUUCAACCAGUGUGCCUAAAGGUCC